GCGUGCUAUACAUGCAAGUCGAACGAACUCUGGUAUUGAUUGGUGCUUGCAUCAUGAUUUACAUUUGAGUGAGUGGCGAACUGGUGAGUAACACGUGGGAAACCUGCCCAGAAGCGGGGGAUAACACCUGGAAACAGAUGCUAAUACCGCAUAACAACUUGGACCGCAUGGUCCGAGUUUGAAAGAUGGCUUCGGCUAUCACUUUUGGAUGGUCCCGCGGCGUAUUAGCUAGAUGGUGGGGUAACGGCUCACCAUGGCAAUGAUACGUAGCCGACCUGAGAGGGUAAUCGGCCACAUUGGGACUGAGACACGGCCCAAACUCCUACGGGAGGCAGCAGUAGGGAAUCUUCCACAAUGGACGAAAGUCUGAUGGAGCAACGCCGCGUGAGUGAAGAAGGGUUUCGGCUCGUAAAACUCUGUUGUUAAAGAAGAACAUAUCUGAGAGUAACUGUUCAGGUAUUGACGGUAUUUAACCAGAAAGCCACGGCUAACUACGUGCCAGCAGCCGCGGUAAUACGUAGGUGGCAAGCGUUGUCCGGAUUUAUUGGGCGUAAAGCGAGCGCAGGCGGUUUUUUAAGUCUGAUGUGAAAGCCUUCGGCUCAACCGAAGAAGUGCAUCGGAAACUGGGAAACUUGAGUGCAGAAGAGGACAGUGGAACUCCAUGUGUAGCGGUGAAAUGCGUAGAUAUAUGGAAGAACACCAGUGGCGAAGGCGGCUGUCUGGUCUGUAACUGACGCUGAGGCUCGAAAGUAUGGGUAGCAAACAGGAUUAGAUACCCUGGUAGUCCAUACCGUAAACGAUGAAUGCUAAGUGUUGGAGGGUUUCCGCCCUUCAGUGCUGC
rnacentral:rRNA from 1 species